rnacentral:rRNA from 1 species
AUUGAACGCUGGCGGCAUGCCUUACACAUGCAAGUCGAACGGUAACAGGUCUUCGGAUGCUGACGAGUGGCGAACGGGUGAGUAAUACAUCGGAACGUGCCCGAUCGUGGGGGAUAACGAGGCGAAAGCUUUGCUAAUACCGCAUACGAUCUACGGAUGAAAGCGGGGGAUCUUCGGACCUCGCGCGGACGGAGCGGCCGAUGGCAGAUUAGGUAGUUGGUGGGAUAAAAGCUUACCAAGCCGACGAUCUGUAGCUGGUCUGAGAGGAUGAUCAGCCACACUGGGACUGAGACACGGCCCAGACUCCUACGGGAGGCAGCAGUGGGGAAUUUUGGACAAUGGGCGAAAGCCUGAUCCAGCCAUGCCGCGUGCAGGAUGAAGGCCUUCGGGUUGUGAACUGCUUUUGUACGGAACGAAAAGCCUCUUUCUAAUAAAGAGGGGUCAUGACGGUACCGUAAGAAUAAGCACCGGCUAACUACGUG